rnacentral:lncRNA from 1 species
AUCUAUGAUACAUUUAAUAUUGAUCUAUUUCUAAGAAGUUUUCUUGAAGAUCUAUAAAUUCAAAAAAUUGAAACAAAUAAACAAAACAUACUACUUUUACAAUAUAAAGUGAUCGGUACAUUUCUAAUUGGGCAAGAUUAGGAGAAAAAACAUGGCUAAAAUUAUUAAAUUUGUUUAUUUAGUGAUCCUCUUUAUUUUCUUAGUUGUUGUUGUAACUGACAUUACUGGUAAAAAAAUUUGUAUCUUUUUGAGCUUUCUUGUUAUCUAUCUUAUACAAAAUAAUUCAUCAUUUUCACUAAUUUUUUUUUAUAUUACAGCACAGGGGAAGCUAAAUUGCGAGAAGGAUUCUGAUUGUUUCAUGUUUUCUUGUGUACCUGCUGCUUUUCCAAAAUGUGUUUCUUUCGAAUGUAGAUGUCCUUUUUCCGCCACUAUUGAAAAAUAAACUCGAUUGUAAAAGAUUAAUAUUGUAAUAUCUCAAAUAAGGGAGUUAAAAUUUCAUCUCAAAUAGUCAUAAAAAGGCCAUUGGAGCUAUUGUUAUAUAUUAAUAUUUUAUUGUGUUCCUUAGUUGAUAUUCUGAACAAUUUCUUCUGGAAUAAAAAAAUUUGUUAUAAAAAGAAGAAUAUAAAUAUAAAUUAUAAAUAAUCCAUAGUAGCAAUACACUUAUUUAUUGAAGUAAUGGUAGAGUAAAGUGUAAUACCCUAAACGUCCUAUGAAGACUUAUUAACUUAAAUAAAUAAACAUGUGAACAUUUAGAGCAUUACACCACAUAGAGCAUACAAAUAUGCAUGAUAUAUUCUCUUAUAAAGCAACGAAAAACAAAACUUGUCCUAGUCUCUAAUAAUGCAUAACGAUAUUAUUAAUCGUAGAACAUUUCAUUAAUCACAAAUCAACAUGAUUAAUAUGAACACUUUUUCGUAGUAUAUGGUUGACCAGUUAUGAAUAACAAUAUAACGAAUACGAAUUUCAUAAAACCUACCGUUGGAUUAAAAGUUAGUAUCAUAUAGAUCAUCCAUAAUUUUUUUUAAAGAAAUUGAAAAUCAUUUGACAUGUUAUCGAGACACAUCAAGAUUAACGGUAUUUGGAUUUUUACUAAAUAUCGUUAAUCUUGAUACGUCUCAAUAAUUCAAUUUUUUAAAUUUUUUUUUAUGUAUAAUCUAUAUGAUAUAAACUUUUAAUUUAACGAUAAAUUUUAUAUUUAAAUUCAUAUUCAUUAUAAUAAUAUUGAUUCCUUAUCCACGGUACGACUACCAUAACAUUAGCCUGAUAGCCAUAUAUCAUAAUAAGUCCUAUCAUGAUAUAAACGAACCAUGAUGAAAUACAUCACAUAUAAGGCUACUCAGACCACAAAUGCAUAAAUCCAAGAAAUAACAUGAUAUAAGAUAGCGACAACCUAGAUUCAGUGUUACACUAUAAGAGCACUAUACUAAACAUAAUGUAAAAGCUAAAUCAACGUUAAAUGGAGAGGCCAUGAGCCAAAUUCCUCACCAAGAUAUAAAGCAAGAUCAUUGCGGCUACUACUCCUCUGCAGCUACAGGGUCAAUCCGAGGACCUGAACGUAUUCUUAAAGGUCUAGCACAUACAUAAAACAGAGGGCUAGAUAAUACAAUUAUUAACAAUAACUGUAUAUAAUAAUAUCGGACAUGCGAACAAUUUAUCUUUUCAUAUAAAUAACUUAUACAAAUGCAUUUACUAUGUAAGUGUUUAUAUUUUUUUUUUUAAACAGUAAGUGUUUAUAUUAUGAAAUUAAGUUGUUCAUUCAAACAGUACUUAAAAGCACAAAAUAAUAUCAACAAAGCAUUAAAAUGCAGAUAAGUAGUAACAUGGAAUUUAGUACAGUAAAUCCUGCAAGGCCAGCCACCUAAUCCUACAAGAUCAAAUACGUAAUCUGGUUCUAGAUUAUAAUUUAUAUGUAGUAAAAAUUACAUCGGUGAAAACUUUUGUCACCGCUCAAAUAUUUGUAAAUUUAGAAAACAUUUAUGCUAUUGAUUUUUAUACGUAAUAAUAAAAUUUUAAAUAUUUUAAGGUAAGGUUUACUCCAGCCCUUAAUUUAUAAAUUAG